GAAGGGGCUUCAGUGGGAGGAAGGGUGGUGAUUACACAGUGAGGGCACUUUCUCCUUCAGAAGAUCUAGAACUGGGUCUGCCAAAAAGAAGCAUAGGCUCCAUGAACAUCCUGCCAAGGGGUAGGAUGCGUGAAAGAAGGAAGGUGAAAGUCCUGCUUACUCUGGGUAUUCGGACCACAUGGGGGACAUUGCCUUUACUCAGGAUGGUCAUGUGACUCAAAUCCAUAACAAACUCAGUGUGUUGAAGAAACAGGGAUAUUUGGCCCAGUGAAGACUUAGAGGCCAAGGAUUCACUGUUAUUAUAAGAAAGGAUGCAUUCCCCUUUCUAGAGUUGAUGUCCAAUGAACAGGUGGCCCAAGGAGGUAGUGAGUUCCCCAUCCCUGGAGGAAUGGGAACAGAAAUUGCCUAACUACUUGGUGGGGAUGUGGAGAAGGAACAAAGCGUGUGCUGAAGGUUGGACAGUUGACACUCAAGCUUCCUCCCAGGCCUGGGCUUUUAGGAGAUUUUCCCAACACCAGCCUCUGCUUUCAGCAGCCAGCUGCCUUCUGGAUGAAUCAAAAGCCCGCCCAACUCUGGCUUCCUCACUGGGUGGGGCUCCAAGGGAGCCGCCAAGGCCUCCCACUCCCACUGUACGGGGGCCACUGCAUUCACAGCCUCUGGGGUGCCUCUUGCAGCCACCACCCUCCUGGAGUCAGGAACUGAAUAAAUUGGUUAAACAAGGAAAACACACCCACAGAAAGAGAGGGAGACUUAGUCUGAAAUGAGAAAUGCCGUCUUGCUUGGGUCUUUUAUCAUAAGCCCACAGAGACGAAUAUUCUGACCUAAUAAUCAAAACAGGCUGUAAUUGCAAACAGACUCUCAAGGCUGUGCAGCCAAAGAGAGAGCAGAUGAGAUACCUGCUGAGCACAGCAGGCCCGACCCAGCUGGCCCACCUCCCACCAGCCGAGGAUCAAUGCGGCUGGCCAGCCGCGCACCAUUUUGCUGGCCUGGCUUGAUGGAGGCCUGCUCACAGUCUGCCUUCCUCCAGGGGCCCAGGGCACCCUUUGCAGGGGAACGUGCUGAGAGGAAGCCAGUCCCUACCCACAUCCAGAGAGAAAGGUGGUUAAAUACCCAGCAGGAUCGUGGAAGAUCACAAGGAGGAGGGAAGGAGGCUUUGCUCCCACCUCUCCUGAACUCUACCUCCUCUUGGCUCUGGAAGAUGUUCUUCUGGGUACACCACCAAAGCUGGAAGAUCUUCCUGUCCCCACCCUGCUCCCACCUCCCUUUUGUGUUUUGUUUCAGGCACACCCUCGGCUCAAAUUUGCUUUGAAGGUCAGUAAUUUUUACUUCUUUUCAAAACAACUGCACAUUUCUUCUGGCACCCAAAUGCUGAUUCUCUGCACUGAAGAAUGUCUCCCUCAACAACAGCUUCGCACCCCUUUGCUGGUCCCUACCUCAAGAGCGGAGCCAAGUGAUGGCUGUGGAAAGGUGACAGAUGGAGGGGUUUGGUGACAGUUGUUUCCACAUCUUACUUAGUGACUAUAAAAAAAUAGCUGGAAAUCGAAUGUUUGGUUUUUAAACUAAGUCAAAAUGUCUCUUUAUCAAAAGGGCUGUGUCAAACAAAACAUGGAAUCAAAAGCAGUUACAAUUUCAGGCACCUACAGGACAUGCAGGGGUGGAGGUGCCACCAUUAUGGAGAUGUGGUUCUGUCUGCAUGCCUAGGAAGCUAAUUCUCUAGGAACCCAGUAGGCCUCAGGUCCUGGAGGCCAGCUCCUCUUGGCCACGUGCAAGAGCAAAAGCACGGCAGAUGAGAUGCUCGCCCUGAGGAAGGCGGUGAGCAGGCACUGGCUGGGGUGGAGACAAUCAUCCUGAUUCUUCAGUCAGCUACAUCUCCCUCUCAGUGAGCACACGCCCGUCGACUCCCAAGAUCAGAUGGAAGCUCAGAUGCUAGGGAGCCCAGAGAGCUUUCCAACGGACGUUUCCCUAAAGCAAAUGGGCUAGAGGAACCAUAAGAUUGGGCUGGUCUACCUGCCUCUCAUGACCUAGCGGGAGUCGAAGAGGCUGAGUGCCCUUCUCAGAGCCAUAGAGCCAGUGAAGGGCCAAGAUAGAUGGGACUCAAGACCCUGGCUCAGCACCCACUGCUUCUCACCACACCGCCAGCCCCCGGGCCAUUGUGCAUUGAACCCUGAUGGCACCCUGCCAGCUCCCAGCCGGCCUUUGUUCCCUGGCUACGCUGAACACCCCCAAGGCCCCGCCUGAGGUGCCCUGAGAGGAGCCGCCUGCUGACAGCUACUUGGGUCCUUGCACCUGAAGAAAG
ensembl:lncRNA